rnacentral:rRNA from 1 species
UACGUAGGGUGCAAGCGUUUAAUCGGAAUUACUGGGCGUAAAGCGUGCGCAGGCGGUUUUGUAAGUUUUGUCGUGAAAGCCCCGGGCUCAACCUGGGAAUUGCGAUGAAGACUGCAAGGCUUGAAUCUGGCAGAGGGGGGGGUAGAAUUCCACGUGUAGCAGUGAAAAUGCGUAGAGAUGUGGAGGAACACCGAUGGCGAAAGGCAGCCCCCCUGGGGUCAAAGAUUGACGCUCAUGCACGAAAAGCGUGGGGGAGCAAACAGG